UACCAGCUCUCCGAGUGGUGUGGAUGUUUAUUGGGCCUAAAGCAUCCGUAGCUGGCUGGACAAGUCCCCUGUUAAAUCCACCGAUUUAAUCGUUGGAGUGCGGGGGAUACUGUUCGGCUAGGGGACGGGAGAGGCAGACGGUAUUUCCGGGGUAGGGGUGAAAUCCUAUAAUCCCGGGAAGACCACCAGUGGCGAAGGCUGUCUGCUAGAACGCGCCCGACGGUGAGGGAUGAAAGCUGGGGGAGCGAACCGGAUUAGAUACCCGGGUAGUCCCAGCUGUAAACGAUGCAGGCUAGGUGUUUGGACGGCCACGUGCCGUUCUAGUGCCGCAGGGAAGCCGUUAAGCCUGCCGCCUGGGGAGUACGGCCGCAAGGCUGAAACUUAAGGAAUUGGCGGGGGAGCACCACAAGGGGUGAAGCUUGCGGUUU
rnacentral:rRNA from 1 species